rnacentral:sRNA from 1 species
GCUUUCAACAUCCCCGUUUUCCUGUCGCCCCAGCCGAUGGCAGCGAGAACUGAAGGC